rnacentral:lncRNA from 1 species
AAGAUGAGGUCUCAUCAUGGGAAUCCACCAAGGAAUGUGACUUGUUAGUAUGAGGAGCUAACUGGUUUUUGUUGUCCAAAGAAACCCCCUCUGAAUUUGGUACGUCUAAAUUAACACUUGAAUUUUGUAUGUCCACGGUGAUAGGCAACUUUGUAACUCUUCGUUUCUUUUGUAAUUCAGAAAAUUUACUAUCAUAAAGAACAAUAGCACGACCUUCAGUCUCAUGCUUGUCUGGUUGCACUGUCCCUCUAGUAGUAAUCUUCCGGUUCAUUGGCUCAUUUAAAAUGGUAACAUCAGUACAGGAUUUGGAUCUUCG